AGAGUUUGAUCAUGGCUCAGGAUGAACGCUGGCGGCGUGCCUAACACAUGCAAGUCGAGCGAUCUUCUUCGGAAGAGAGCGGCGGACGGGUGAGUAACGCGUGGGUAACCUACCUCAUACACAUGGAUAACAUACCGAAAGGUAUACUAAUACAAGAUGAUAUAAGAGAUUCGCAUGGAUUUCUUAUCAAAGCUCCGGCGGUAUGAGAUGGACCCGCGUCUGAUUAGCUAGUUGGUAAGGUAACGGCUUACCAAGGCGACGAUCAGUAGCCGACCUGAGAGGGUGAUCGGCCACAUUGGAACUGAGACACGGUCCAAACUCCUACGGGAGGCAGCAGUGGGGAAUAUUGCACAAUGGGCGAAAGCCUGAUGCAGCAACGCCGCGUGAGCGAUGAAGGCCUUCGGGUCGUAAAGCUCUGUCCUCAAGGAAGAUAAUGACGGUACUUGAGGAGGAAGCCCCGGCUAACUACGUGCCAGCAGCCGCGGUAAUACGUAGGGGGCUAGCGUUAUCCGGAUUUACUGGGCGUAAAGGGUGCGUAGGUGGUUUCUUAAGUCAGGAGUGGAAGGCUACGGCUCAACCGUAGUAAGCUCUUGAAACUGGGAAACUUGAGUGCAGGAGAGGAAAGUGGAAUUCCUAGUGUAGCGGUGAAAUGCGUAGAUAUUAGGAGGAACACCAGUAGCGAAGGCGGCUUUCUGGACUGUAACUGACACUGAGGCACGAAAGCGUGGGGAGCAAACAGGAUUAGAUACCCUGGUAGUCCACGCCGUAAACGAUGAGUACUAGGUGUCGGGGGUUACCCCCCUCGGU
rnacentral:rRNA from 1 species